GGGGAUGUAGCUCAGUGGUAGAGUGCUUGCCUAACAUGCUUGAGGCCCUAGGUUUAAUCCCCAACACCACCA
rnacentral:tRNA from 1 species